UUAUGGCCAUAUCAUGUUGAAACAUUGGUUCUCAUCUGAUCAACAAAGUUAAGCAAUGUUGAGCCUGGUCAGUACAUAGAUGGGUGACCACUUUGGAAUACUAAGUACUGUAAG